ACGACGCCGUUUUGGUGGCCACUGAUUCAGGCCCCAAACGACGCCGUUUCAACACCCCAAAAAAACCAAUUUUAAAACCCUAAACAAGGUUAUUCGGCCACUAAAAAAACAGCAGAAAAAAAACUUUGCCUUUCCCCUCUCCCCUCGCGCCGUUCUCAGGCUAAAACCAUACCUAGCCUCUCUGGUAUCCACGAAACCGAUGAGAACGACGACAGGGUCACCGAGGUACGGCCGUACGGUGUCAGGGACGUGGCUAGGUGUAUGUGGGGAGAGGCGUUGGAAGCGUGGUUCGUGGGGCAUGUGCGAGGGCUUGGCUGCGGCGCCUGGUACCUCUGAAACUGUUUAGGGUUUCUGCAAAAUGAAAAAAUCUGGGCUGGUUUUGGCUAUUGGGCUAGCUGUAAUUUGGGUUUGUACUGGGCCAUUUAUAAAUGGGCUCGAUUUAUAUUUUGGGUCUGAUAGAUUUUUGUAAUUUUGGACUUUGGACUUUUUAAAUUUUGAUUUGGUUUAUUUAUUA